AACCUCCGCAAUGUGAGAAAUCGCGACGGGGGGAUCCCAAGUGCCAUUCCUAACGGGAUGGCUUUUCAUUAGUGUAAAGAGCUUUUGGAAUAAGGGCUGGGCAAGACCGGUGCCAGCCGCCGCGGUAACACCGGCAGCUCUAGUGGUAGCAGUUUUUAUUGGGCCUAAAGCGUCCGUAGCCGGUUUAAUAAGUCUCUGGUGAAAUCCUGUAGCUUAACUGUGGGAAUUGCUGGAGAUACUAUUAGACUUGAGACCGGGAGAGGUUAGAGGUACUCCCAGGGUAGAGGUGAAAUUCUGUAAUCCUGGGAGGACCGCCUGUUGCGAAGGCGUCUAACUGGAACGGUUCUGACGGUGAGGGACGAAAGUUAGGGGCGCGAACCGGGAUUAGAUACCCGGGUAGUCCUAACUGUAAACGAUGCGGACUUGGUGUUGGGGUGGCUUUGAGCUGCUCCAGUGCCGAAGGGAAGCUGUUAAGUCCGCCGCCUGGGAAGUACGGUCGCAAGACUGAAACUUAAAAGAGUU
rnacentral:rRNA from 1 species